rnacentral:rRNA from 1 species
AUUGAACGCUGGCGGCAGGCCUAACACAUGCAAGUCGAGCGAGCGGCGGACGGGUGAGUAAUGUAUGGGGACUGCCCGAUAGAGGGGGCUAACUACUGGAAACGGUGGCUAAUACCGCAUGCUACCGGAUAACCCAUAUGGGAUUAGCUAGGAGGUGAGGUAAUGGCUCACCUAGGCGACGAUCUCUAGCUGGUCUGAGAGGAUGAUCAGCCAAACUGGGCCUGAGACAAGGCCCCGCAUCCUACGGAGGCAGCCGUGGGGAAUAUUGCACAAUGGGCGCAAGCCUGAUGCAGCCAUGCCGCGUGGAUGAAGGAGGCCUUAGGGUUGUAAAGUACUUUCAGCGGGGAGACGUUACCCGAAGAAGAAGCACCGGCUAACUCCGUGCCAGCAGCCGCGGUAAUAC